rnacentral:snoRNA from 13 species
CGUCCUCAGCCUUACUCCAGGGCCUUUGCUGUGAAGUGCCUUGGCAUUGCCUGAGGAUACAUGAGAAAGCACAUCUCCCUCCCCAGCAAGACGCUGCUUUCUUGUGGGGCCUACAGACUGUGCUGACAAC